ACACCCGCAACGGCACCCUGUCCGACGUCUACACCCGCAACGGCACCCUGGGCGACGAUGGCAGCAAUGGUACUUUGGCUGACGUCUACGCGGGCAACGGCACCCUGGGCGACGACGGCAACGAGACUUUGGCUGACGUCUACGCGGGCAACGGCACCCUGGGCGACGACGGCAGCAAUGGAACUUUGGCAGAUGCCGACACGGGCAACGGCACCCUGGGUGACGACGGCAGCAAUGGAACUUUGGCUGACGGCUACACGGGCAACGGCACCCUGGGCGACGACGGCAACGUGACUUUUGCUGACGUCUACACUGGCAACGGCACCCUGGCCGACGUCGAGACGGGCAACGGAACUUUGGCAGAUGGCAACGACACCCUGGGCGACGACGGAAACGUGACUUUGGCUGACGGCUACACGGGCAACGGCACCCUGGGCGACGACGGCAGCAAUGGAACUUUGGCUGAUGGCUACACGGGCAACGGCACCCUGGGCGACGACGGCAACGUGACUUUUGCUGACGUCUACACUGGCAACGGUACCCUGGCCGACGUCGAGACGGGCAACGGAACUUUGGCAGAUGGCAACGGCACCCUGGGCGACGACGGCAGCAAUGGAACUUUGGCUGACGGCUACACGGGCAACGGCAACCUGGGCGACGUCGACACGGGCAACGGAACUUUGGCAGAUGGCAACGGCACCCUGUCCGACGUCUACACCCGCAACGGCACCCUGGGCGACGAUGGCAGCAAUGGUACUUUGGCAGAUGGCUACGCAGGCAACGGCACCCUGGGCGACGACUGCAACGAGACUUUGGCUGACGUCUACGCGGGCAACGGCACCCUGGGCGACGACACCCGCAACGGCACCCUGGACGACGGCAGCAAUGGAACUUUGGCAGAUGCCGACGCAGGCAACGGCACCCUGAGCGACGACGGCAACGUGACCCUAGCUGACGUCUACACGGGCAACGGAACUUUGGCUGACGGCUACACGGGCAACGGCACCCUGGGCGACGACUGCAACGUGACUUUUGCCGACGUCUACACUGGCAACGGCACCCUGGCCGACGUCGAGACGGGCAACGGAACUUUGGCAGAUGGCAACGGCACCCUGGGCGACGACGGCAGCAAUGGAACUUUGGCUGACGGCUACACGGGCAACGGCACCCUGGGCGACGACGGCAACGUGACUUUUGCCGACGUCUACACUGGCAACGGCACCCUGGCCGACGUCGAGACGGGCAACGGAACUUUGGCAGAUGGCAACGGCACCCUGGCCGACGUCGACACGGGCAACGGAACUUUGGCAGAUGGCAACGACACCCUGUCCGACGUCUACACCCGCAACGGCACCCUGGGCGACGAUGGCAGCAAUGGUACUUUGGCUGACGUCUACGCGGGCAACGGCACCCUGGCCGACGUCGACACGGGCAACGGAACUUUGGCAGAUGGCAACGACACCCUGUCCGACGUCUACACCCGCAACGGCACCCUGUCCGACGUCUACACCCGCAACGGCACCCUGGGCGACGAUGGCAGCAAUGGUACUUUGGCUGACGUCUACGCGGGCAACGGCACCCUGGGCGACGACGGCAACGAGACUUUGGCUGACGUCUACGCGGGCAACGGCACCCUGGGCGACGACGGCAGCAAUGGAACUUUGGCAGAUGCCGACGCAGGCAACGGCACCCUGAGCGACGACGGCAACGUGACCCUAGCUGACUACACGGGCAACGGAACUUUGGCUGACGGCUACACGGGCAACGGCACCCUGGGCGACGACGGCAGCAAUGGAACUUUGGCUGACGGCUACACGGGCAACGGCACCCUGGGCGACGACUGCAACGUGACUUUGGCUGACGUCUACACUGGCAACGGCACCCUGGCCGACGUCGACACGGGCAACGGAACUUUGGCAGAUGGCAACGACACCCUGUCCGACGUCUACACCCGCAACGGCACCCUGGGCGACGAUGGCAGCAAUGGUACUUUGGCUGGCGUCUACGCGGGCAACGGCACCCUGGGCGACGACGGCAGCAAUGGAACUUUGGCAGAUGCCGACGCAGGCAACGGCACCCUGAGCGACGACGGCAACGUGACCCUAGCUGACGUCUACACGGGAAACGGAACUUUGGCUGACGGCUACACGGGCAACGGCACCCUGGGCGACGACGGCAACGUGACUUUUGCUGACGUCUACACUGGCAACGGCACCCUGGCCGACGUCGAGACGGGCAACGGAACUUUGGCAGAUGGCAACGACACCCUGGGCGACGACGGAAACGUGACUUUGGCUGACGGCUACACGGGCAACGGCACCCUGGGCGACGACGGCAGCAAUGGAACUUUGGCUGAUGGCUACACGGGCAACGGCACCCUGGGCGACGACGGCAACGUGACUUUUGCUGACGUCUACACUGGCAACGGCACCCUGGCCGACGUCGAGACGGGCAACGGCACCCUGGGCGACGAUGGCAGCAAUGGUACUUUGGCUGACGUCUACGCGGGCAACGGCACCCUGGCCGACGUCGACACGGGCAACGGAACUUUGGCAGAUGGCAACGGCACCCUGUCCGACGUCUACACCCGCAACGGCACCCUGUCCGACGUCUACACCCGCAACGGCACCCUGGGCGACGAUGGCAGCAAUGGUACUUUGGCUGACGUCUACGCGGGCAACGGCACCCUGGGCGACGACGGCAACGAGACUUUGGCUGACGUCUACGCGGGCAACGGCACCCUGGGCGACGACGGCAGCAAUGGAACUUUGGCAGAUGCCGACGCAGGCAACGGCACCCUGAGCGACGACGGCAACGUGACCCUAGCUGACUACACGGGCAACGGAACUUUGGCUGACGGCUACACGGGCAACGGCACCCUGGGCGACGACGGCAGCAAUGGAACUUUGGCUGACGGCUACACGGGCAACGGCACCCUGGGCGACGACUGCAACGUGACUUUGGCUGACGUCUACACUGGCAACGGCACCCUGGCCGACGUCGACACGGGCAACGGAACUUUGGCAGAUGGCAACGACACCCUGUCCGACGUCUACACCCGCAACGGCACCCUGGGCGACGAUGGCAGCAAUGGUACUUUGGCUGGCGUCUACGCGGGCAACGGCACCCUGGGCGACGACGGCAACGAGACUUUGGCUGACGUCUACGCGGGCAACGGCACCCUGGGCGACGACGGCAGCAAUGGAACUUUGGCAGAUGCCGACGCAGGCAACGGCACCCUGAGCGACGACGGCAACGUGACCCUAGCUGACGUCUACACGGGAAACGGAACUUUGGCUGACGGCUACACGGGCAACGGCACCCUGGGCGACGACGGCAACGUGACUUUUGCUGACGGCUACACGGGCAACGGCAACCUGGCCGACGUCGACACGGGCAACGGAACUUUGGCAGAUGGCAACGGCACCCUGGGCGACGACGGCAACGUGACUUUUGCUGACGUCUACACUGGCAACGGCACCCUGGCCGACGUCGAGACGGGCAACGGAACUUUGGCAGAUGGCAACGGCACCCUGGGCGACGACUGCAACGUGACUUUGCCUGGCGGCUACACAGGCAACGGCACCCUGGGCGACGACGGCAAUGUGACUUUUGCUGACGUCUACACUGGCAACGGCACCCUGGGCGACGACGGCAGCAAUGGAACUUUGGCUGACGGCUACACGGGCAACGGCAACCUGGCCGACGUCGACACGGGCAACGGAACUUUGGCAGAUGGCAAUGACACCCUGGGCGACGUCUACACCCGCAACGGCACCCUGGCCGACGAUGGCACCCUGGCCGACAAUGGCAGCAAUGGUACUUUGGCAGAUGGCUACUCAGGCAACGGCACCCUGGGCGACGACCACAAUGUAACUUUGGCCGACAUCUACACUGGCAAUGGCACCCUGGGCGACGACGGCAACUUAACUCUGACCGACGGCUACACGGGCACCUCGGACCUCGUCGCCUAGAAACAGUUUUUGGGACAGUGCAUUAGUUAAGAUGUUUUUGCUUGUACCUACUUAUCUCUGCUUUCAAUAAAACUAUUGCCUUAACUUGUUGUGUCAAUUCUCUGGGGUUGUGGUCAAAAAUGGAUAUUUAACCAUGAUCCAUAGACACCUGUGAGGCAAGCACUGACUCUAGGGACCUGAAAUUGUAUAAAAGUUGUGUCCCAGGAUGUCUAGACCUAUAGCAGCUCAUCUAAGGGCCUGCCUGAGCCAGCUCUAAAUAGAAGUUAUCAAAGCAGUGUUCACGGUAGUCUUCAAUGAGGGCACUUUGUGGCGCCCACACCAGGUUGAAAGUGGGAGCUGGUUUCAGAGAAUAUGCACUUAAACGCAAAAGCUUCCCAUGCUGCGUUCAGACCUUUAUGGAGUGUUUUGGUCUAGUAGGCUAGUAUGGUACUGAAAGCCCCUUAACAAAAUCGCUUGCCUUGUAGCUAAAGUUGUG
ensembl:lncRNA